UGGUGCUAUCGAGUCCAGUGGUGUCUGAUGGUCCUAUCGAGGCCAGUGGUGUCUGAUGGUGCUAUCGAGGCCAGUGGUGUCUGAUGGUGCUAUCGAGGCCAGUGGUGUCUGAUGGUGCUAUCGAGUCCAGUGGUAUCUGAUGGUGCUAUCGAGGCCAGUGGUGUCUGAUGGUGCUAUCGAGGCCAGUGGUGUCUGAUGGUGCUAUCGAGUCCAGUGGUAUCUGAUGGUGCUAUCGAGUCCAGUGGUGUCUGAUGGUCCUACCGAGUCCAGUGGUGUCUGAUGGUCCUAUCGAGGCCAGUGGUGUCUGAUGGUCCUAUCGAGUCCAGUGGUGUCUGAUGGUCCUAUCGAGUCCAGUGGUGUCUGAUGGUGCUAUCGAGGCCAGCGGUGUCUGAUGGUCCUAUCGAGGCCAGCGGUGUCUGAUGGUGCUAUCGAGGCCAGUGGUGUCUGAUGGUCCUAUCGAGUCCAGUGGUGUCUGAUGGUCCUAUCGAGUCCAGUGGUGUCUGAUGGUGCUAUCGAGGCCAGCGGUGUCUGAUGGUGCUAUCGAGUCCAGUGGUGUCUGAUGGUGCUAUCGAAUCCAGUGGUGUCUGAUGGUGCUAUUGAGGCCAGUGGUGUCUGAUGGUGCUAUCGAGUCCAGUGGUGUCUGAUGGUGCUAUCGAGUCCAGUGGUGUCUGAUGGUGCUAUCGAGGCCAGUGGUGUCUGAUGGUCCUAUCGAGUCCAGUGGUGUCUGAUGGUCCUAUCGAGUCCAGUGGUGUCUGAUGGUCCUAUCGAGUCCAGUGAUGUCUGAUGGUGCUAUCGAGGCCAGCGGUGUCUGAUGGUGCUAUCUCUCUCUGUGUGUCUGCAGGGUUGUUAUUCUGCUGUGGUCGACUACUUUGAGCUCUAUAUAUAUGUGGCCGGAGCGCUGGCCAUAGUGGUGCUCACCAUUGAGCUGUUUGCCAUGGUCUUUGCCAUGUGUCUGUUCAGAGGGAUCCAGUAGGAUGCCUGACUGCUGUACCGCACGGAUGGGAGAUAGAAAAGGGAAAUCAGGAGGG